CAAGUGCAACAAAAACUACAUAUUGAACCAUAGGUGUGGGUACCUGGAGUGCCCCUUCCAAAUUGGAUGCUUUCCUAUUCAGACACCUAUUUAGAGGAGCAACACAGUUCCUUUACCCACUGAAUGAGAAUAUACAAGCCACGGGGAUUUCCCUAAUAUAACGUUUCUGCACGGUAUAUAUCAGAGAUAACAAUCCAAUUAGAUCUUGGCUGACUGCUGAGAAGUGUCCAGAGAUUUGUAACCUAGAUUCCCAAAUAGUUAUAAAAAAAAGACACCAUUUGCUAUCUCUACUUUUAAGUGUAACAUCUAUCCACAUACCUCAUCCAAGACACAUGUGGGUCACACGUAUAACAUGAAUCUAGUUUGUUC